AGCCCCAGCCCCGCGUUCUUAUCCGGUCUCCGACCGGUCUCCACGGAAGAAAUCGAGCGCCGCUCCUCUCCUGCCGGCCCACCGCCCCCGCCCUGCCCCGUCGCCCCUCCUCCGAGCCGCUGCCCCUAUCACGCCUCGCCGGCUGCCUCCCCUCUUCCCGCGCCAGCCCCAGCCUCCGCUCCUCAUCCCACCUCCUCUCGCCCCCGCGCAUCGCCGUCUCCUCGUGCCCCACCCUGGCGGCCCACCGCCCCUGCCCAGCCCCGUCGCCCCUCAUCCGAGGUCGCCGAGGUCACCAAGAAGUGCCGGACUGUGACAUCCCUUCUCGAGCUCGCCGGAGCGGUGCCGGCAGUCGAUAAGGGCACUGUUGAACAGAUCUGAGCACGGGAGGAGCGAGAGGACGCGGCGGACCAGCACUCCACAACGCGGCGUCCAGUGCUGGGCGGUGCCCACUGGUGAGGACCCAACACCGUCGUCCAAAACCACUGCAACCGCCCAGGAACCAGCGGAGUCCACUCUGCCUAGGAACCAACGGCAGGCCGAGGCCGUGCGGGCGCUCAAGGCCGGCAGUGGCGCUUCCAAGGCCGAGGUGGACAUGGUCGUUGAGGCCCUCAAGGUGCUCAAGGUCAAGGUCGGUGCCACCACGCGCCUACUCAGCAGUCCGUCCGCUUCGGCGGACUAUUAACGCGGAAGGAAUCCGCUACGGCGACCAUGCUGUUACCCUCGCCCCCUCCGCUCCAGUGACCCAGCAAUCACGUUUGGCGCCGUUGGCUCCACUUGUCGUCCCAGCCAUCACGUCCGACUACGUCGGCUCCACUCGCCGCCGCGAGAUCUGCCUCCUUCGCCGCCACCGCAGCCUUUAGCGCCUCCGACCCGGACGUCUCGAGCCCUGUCGAUGAGUUGCUACGCCAAGUGCAUGUGCGGUUUGAGGGGAAGCCGCGCGUCGCACCACCAGAGAGACCGUGCGCGUCGUCGCUGACGGCCGCGACUGCUGAGGAGGUCACCGAGCUGGUACAGCUGUAGCACCCAGCGAGCGCGGUGGACAGGUUCGUCGCCUGACCAAUUCCCCAUCGUGCGCUGAAACUCCUGUUGCCCACCGCUGGCCAAGCCGCGGCCCAGCUUGCCACCGGCGAGCUCUCAAAUGCCGGCCGUCGUCGCCCUCUCUCUCUCUCGAUUUGGAUUGGUCAGCGCAUGGAGGGUGUUACAGCCCAGACACGAUGAACACUCGAGCGAAGCAUAGCAUCUCCAGUCUUCCUUCCCAUUCCCAGCCAGCCAGCUCGCUCCCUCUCCUCUCUCCUUUCCUUCCGAAGAGAAGAGAAAUGAAAGGGGGCUGCUUUGGGCAAGGAGAGUAGGCAGUGACGCCAGAUCUGGGCCGAGGAGGGGGAGGCAGGCGCUGGCAGCAAGAGGAGAUGCCGGAAGAGAGACGGUAAGAUGAAGUCGUCGCUGCGGAGCCACCGCGGGUGAGCGACGGCGUCAUCAUCGACGCCAUGCUACUCCCUCUGUGUCCUCAGCAUUGUCAAGGCUAGAUACUGCGCCACCCCCUUCGGCAAGGCUGAGGACCAACUCCAGGAGCGGAUGAACUCCAGCAUCAGGAUGGAGACGGAGGAGUCCCCGGCCAGGAUGCCAAGAGCUAGGAAGAUAAUAUGAACAACCCUGGAGAUAAGUUGUGCCCUUUCCAGCUUAGUUAGUGUUUCAAGGUAAGCAUUCAGAUAACUCAAGGUUCUCGAAGAUUUUUUUUAUGCAAGCAUUAUCUAAGUUAUCCAAUUUGCUUUGGCCCAUUGCUGGAUGUCAAGAAAAUAAGUUGUGGCUUGAUACCAUGGUACUUAACAUGCACUUGAUGCAAAAGAAAAUCAUAUCCUCUUGGAGAUGCCUAUUCUAGAUGUCCUGCGAAAUCUGUUGAACCUAGGUACCCUUUGCCUGUUGUAUGGGUUGAUCCUUUAGAAUAUGGAAUAGAUGAUGCUACUACUGUUCAGUUUGUGUUCUUUGGGAAUUUUGGCCAGCACCUGGAACGGAUACAGCUUCUGAUGCUUGUGGAUACAACCGGAGUUUCAUCUGGGUUUAUAUCGCCAGAAAUAACAAGGUUCUAUGGCCAUAAAUAUAUCUAAAGGGCUGGUGUUUCAUAUGGUUCUCUGUAGAGGGACAUUAUAUCUUUUUAGAUUAAUUCUAUCAUAGCCAUGGAAGUCCCGGUCCAUGUUUUUCUGGUAUAGUGCACUUACUUAUUUCUGAAUUUAGUUUCACAAUAUUGCUAGCACAAACAGAUUCUGCAUUCUCCUCCAUAUGAAUGUUGCCAUCUCGCUCUGAUAUAUAAAAAAACUCUUUCAGUAUAUGGUUCAUGCUUCUCGAGAUUAAUGUGAGAUGAACUUUAAUAGGGUUAACACUUGAGCUAGCAUCACUGACCCAUCCUGCAAUUGCAAAGGCUGCUCCGCCGUUGGCACAACUUGCACUGAUGGAUUAUCCUUUUCCUUGGUAUUUCUUUGCUAUAAAAUUGCCAAGCGUUAGCUACAUAGUUAUUUCUCAUUUACUUAAUUUGUUUUCCUACGAUGUUUGACCGCCUUGGUAGCCUAUUUUUGCUUUGCCCUUUCCGGAUCCCAUCUCGAUGUUAGGUUAUGCGCCCAAUUACUGUGCUUGCACUGCUCCAUAUCAGUUUCCAAAUGCUUUCCAGUGUGCAUGUUCAAAGUUCAAACUGAUGUCGAGGAACUCAGGGAAAUGACCAAGAGAACCGAUUGUGCUACUGUUCCCUGGUGUGACAAUCAAGAACUUUGAAGGUCCAUCCAUCGGGAGCCUGGAAUUCGGAAUAUAUUGUUGAGGCCUACAGUGAUAUUAGACAUAUCACUAUGCAUUGAAUGUGUCGAGGAGAUCAGAUGAUGUGGUUACGACAAGGCUCACUUAGCAAGGAAGUGCAACCUGUACAUCGUACCCGAAUGCGCCUAUUCCAGAGGUCUGCUCUACAAAACAAGUGUAUGUCCUAUUGCCGUCGUUCGAUUGGUAUGUGCAAUGCAUUUUCAGAUCUAUGAUGUAUAAACUUAAUUAAAUCUAUGACAUAUAAGCUCAAUAUGACCUGGUCGUUUCUUAUUGGUUCCAUUACAAUUAGCUAUAUAUUUGUGUCCUGCUCUGUCCCUCCCUCCCUCUCUCAUAUGUAAUGUAAUGUGCAUCAACUUAGAGGUUCGCUCAACAAAUGAAAAAUUGCCCAUGAAGAAAAAACCUACA